GUUGCGGUGGCCGAGUGGUUAAGGCGUUGGACUAGAAAUCCAAUGGGAUCUUCCCGCGCAGGUUCGAAUCCUGACCGCAACG
rnacentral:tRNA from 2 species